rnacentral:misc_RNA from 2 species
AACGCACAUUGCGCCCCUUGGUAUUCCAUGGGGCAUGCCUGUUCGAGCGUCAUUUGUACCCUCAAGCUUUGCUUGGUGUUGGGUGUUUGUCUCUUCCCUUGCGGGGAGACUCGCCUUAAAGUAAUUGGCAGCCAGUGUUUUGGUAGUAAGCGCAGCACAUUUUGCGUCUUGGUCCCUAAAAUAAUGGCAACCAUAAGCUCUUUUUCACGUUUGACCUCGGAUCAGGUAGGGAUACCCGCUGAACUUAA